UACAGCCAUAUCACAUUGAAACACCAGUUCCAGUACGAUCACCGAAGUUAAGCAACGUCGAACCUGGUCAGUACCAAAAUGGUUGACCACUUGCAAAUACCAGGUGCU